rnacentral:misc_RNA from 1 species
GAUGAAGAACGCAGCGAAAUGCGAUAAUUAAUGUGAAUUGCAGAAUUCCGUGAAUCAUCGAGUCUUUGAACGCACAUUGCGCCCCCUGGUAUUCCGGGGGGCAUGCCUGUCCGAGCGUCAUUGCCGCCCUCAAGCACGGCUUGUGUGUUGGGCCCCCGCCCCCCGGCUUCGGGGGGCGGGCCCGAAAGGCAGCGGCGGCACCGCGUCCGGUCCUCGAGCGUAUGGGGCUUCGUCACCCGCUCUGUAGGCCCGGCCGGCGCCCGCCGGCGACCCCAAUCAAUCUUUCCAGGUUGACCUCGGAUCAGGUAGGGAUACCCGCUGAACUUAAGCAUAUCAAUAAGCGGAGGA